GGAGAAGCCUUCUUUGUUUCACUGCAGCUUUCUCUCAAAUGUUCGCUUGAGCGAAAGAAAUUGAGGAGUCAACCAAUGAGAACUCCACAGUGUCAUGAAAAAAAAAGACAAACCAGAGCAGGUCUGACUAAGUUGUGGUGAAACGCAGGUAUUCACCCCGGGCAGUGCUCCAGACUGUCGUAACGAUUGGACGCCGGAGUCACCUGAGGUCGAACAACCAUCAAACAGAACAGGCCAGCAGAGGAGAGGAGAGCCAACUCUUCAGGCCGGGCAAGACAAAAAGGGGGACGCUCCUUUGAAGACACAGAUGUGUGCGUCUUAUAGAGGCAGAUGGUUCGAAAGAGGGGUGAGGGAAGCCAUCUAUGUCAAAAAAGAGGAACCAUCCAUCAACGGAGGAGGAGGUCUGUGACACCACCUAUCUCCCACCAACAAUGCUGCCCUUUCGGCAUGGACACAUGACAUCAGGUGACUCUUAAGGCCAUCGUUUCAACAGCUUCAACGACUGUCACUGAAACAGCCGGGAGCUCUGUUGUUUAUAAAUCAAUGUAAGAGGUGAAACGUCUUCAACAAUCUACAAUAAAGUCCGGUUGCUCCUGA